GGGAUCGUAGCUCAGUUGGCUAGAGCACCGCGUUUACACCGCGGGUGUCGGGGGUUCAAGUCCCUCCGAUCCCACCA
rnacentral:tRNA from 1 species